CAGCCGCCGCGGGAACACGAAGGGUGCAAGCGUUACUCGGAAUUACUGGGCGUAAAGCGUGCGUAGGUGGUGGUUUAAGUCCGUUGUGAAAGCCCUGGGCUCAACCUGGGAAUUGCAGUGGAUACUGGGUCACUAGAGUGUGGUAGAGGAUAGUGGAAUUUCCGGUGUAGCAGUGAAAUGCGUAGAGAUCGGAAGGAACAUCUGUGGCGAAGGCGACUAUCUGGGCCAACACUGACACUGAGGCACGAAAGCGUGGGGAGCAAACAGGAUUAGAUACCCCGGUAGUCCCUGUCUCUUAUAC
rnacentral:rRNA from 1 species